rnacentral:rRNA from 1 species
CCUACGGGAGGCAGCAGUAAGGAAUCUUCCACAAUGGACGAAAGUCUGAUGGAGCAACGCCGCGUGCAGGAUGAAGGCUUUCGGGUCGUAAACUGCUUUUAUAUGGGAAGAUUAUGACGGUACCAUAUGAAUAAGGACCGGCUAACUACGUGCCAGCAGCCGCGGUAAUACGUAGGGUCCAAGCGAUAUCCGGAAUUACUGGGCGUAAAGCGUGUGUAGGUGGAUUAAUAAGUGUGAUGCGAAAUCCGGCGGCUCAACCGUUUGGACUGUGUCGCAUACUGUUAGUCUAGAGGACGGCAGAGGUAAGUGGAAUUACGGGUGUAGCAGUGAAAUGCGUAGAUAUCCGUAGGAACACCAAUGGCGAAGGCAGCUUACUGGGCCACACCUGACACUGAGACACGAAAGCGUGGGGAGCGAACAGGAUUAGAUACCCUGUAGUCCACGCCGUAAACGAUGCAUACUAUUAGUAUGGGGUUAUCGACCCCCUGUGCUGAGAAGCUAACGCGAUAAGUAUGCCGCCUGGGGAGUACGAGCGCAAGCUUAAAACCCGAAAUGAAUUGACGG